UUUGCCGAGUAAUGAGCCAGAUCGUGAACUCAUUCAGAGGCUUGUGCGAAUCGAAGGCUUCGAGUAGUCCUGCUUGGAUUGGACUCGCUCUGAUCCACGUUUGCUUCUGGUAUUCGAGAGAAAGCAAAUCCCUUUUUGUUCCUCUGAUAGACGAGGCGACCAAGGCCAAAGAGCUUCUGCGUUCUUGGUGGAUGUAAUUUUCUGAUUGUUUCUCGAGAAAUAGUCUGGUAUCGGCUACUGGUGAGAAAAUCCGAAAUGGGUUUUGUCGAAUCGCUGAAAUCGGUGAACUGGGAUCUCGAAUCGUACCCGACGUUCCAGGAUUUCAAGGUUCUUCCGCUCUUUGCAGUUUUCUUCCCAUCGGUUCGGUUUCUUCUCGAUAGGUUCGUUUUCGAGAAAUUGGCCAAAGUUUUGAUCUAUGGGAAACAACGGAAUAUGGGUGAUGACAUAAAGGAGAGAAGGAAGAAAGUCCGGAAAUUCAAAGAGUCGGCAUGGAAAUGUGUCUACUACCUGUCAGCCGAGAUUCUUGCCCUAUCUGUGACUUAUAACGAACCUUGGUUUAAGAAAACUCGAUACUUUUGGGUAGGGCCAGGUGAUCAGAUGUGGCCUGAUCAACAAAUAAAGGUAAAGUUGAAGUUGUUGUAUAUGUUUGCUGCUGGGUUCUACACUUACUCCAUGUUUGCUCUGAUAUUCUGGGAAACGAGGCGUUCCGACUUUGGAGUUUCCAUGGGCCAUCAUAUCGCUACUCUUAUUCUUAUUGUGCUAUCCUAUUUAUGUAGAUUCUCCCGUGUUGGUUCUGUUGUGUUGGCACUUCACGAUGCCAGUGAUGUGUUCCUGGAAGUGGGGAAAAUGUCCAAAUACAGCGGAGCUGAAAGUAUUGCGAGCUUUUCAUUUAUUCUCUUCGUCUUGUCUUGGAUCAUACUUCGCCUUAUCUACUAUCCUUGCUGGGUCCUUUGGAGCACAAGCUAUGAAGUUCUUUUGACGCUUGACAAGGAAAAACACCCGGUUGAGGGACCAAUCUACUACUACAUGUUCAACGUGCUUCUGUAUUGCUUGUUCAUCCUUCACAUUUAUUGGUGGGCUUUGAUAUUCCGGAUGCUUGUGAAACAAAUACAGGCCAGAGGCAAGCUUAGUGAAGAUGUCAGAUCGGAUUCUGAAGGUGAAGAUGAGCAUGAAGAUUGAUAGCAAUGAUUCCAAACCCUCUAUACACUCAAUGAUUAAGACAUAGAGAGAGAGAGAGACCUUCAGCCAUUGACAACUGACAAGCAACGAGUGCAUGUUCUACUAAACUAACACCUUGCUCCAUCUUCCUGAGUGUUAACUUACAAUGUUGUCUUGGUCGGACAGACUGAACCAACACUCUUCUAGGUCUGCUUCUCCGUCAAAGGUACAUUUUCUCUCUCCGUCUCUCUCCCAUUUUCUCGGCAGCCAAACACUAAUAUUUCUCUUUUCUUCCUGAGUAAUUCUGCUAGGGGUUUAUGAUGCUCUCAGUCGCUUUGAAACUUCAGAAAGUUAUGUGGAUAUGGGAAAUGUUUUGCUAAUUUUCGAAACUUUAAUUGUUCUUCUGUUGUUUUAUCAUCCAGUUUUUUAGAUUUAGAAUUCCUUGGAUCAGAACAUGGCUUCUUGUAUGAGACUAUUAGAUGGGACGAUUUUGUGUGCUUCAACGAGCAUUGUGUUGAUAUCCACAGCGUUUCUUGUCCAAGUCCGAAUUGGUCAUAUCAUAUUCAUAGAUCUGUCUCAGACCGUAGGGAUUGAGUUCAAGUUUCAGUCUUGAAACACAGAUUUGUAAAAAAAAAAAAAAGAGAGAGCUGGAUUUUGAUUAUUACCAAGACGAUAAAGCGCUGGUAAACGCAAGAUUUGUGAUUAGAUUUUUCUUCUAAGCUCUGAAGUUAUUCUCACGUAGUUCUUUGGGAACACAAGAUUUGUGAUUAGAUGAUUGAGGUUUCUUUUGCUGCAUUGCUUGUUGGAUUCAGCUCAGAUGCAUGAUGGCAAUAUAUAUGAGAAGACAUGGAGAAACUUCGGUUCCCAGCAAUUGAAAUGCAUAUGUGUUUACUUUUACCAGAACCAACGGAAUAAGUCUAGUUUACAUAUGUUAGUGCAUCAAUAUCAAUCUUAUCUUUGUGGUCUUGUCCUAACAGUUUCAUUCAUCAGCAACUUAAUCGCAUCUUUGAUGUUUGUGUUGCACAGAACCUUGAUCAAAUCCUGAAAUGGAAGACUUACUAACUGAGAUCUCUCCACCGUCAAGAUUCUUCCAAGAAGAUCUCAACAACUUUGUCUCUCUCCAUCCGAUCACGUUCCAUCUCCAUUCAUCGUCAUGUCCAGCCCAAAGCCAGAGAUGCCUCUUCGACCGUCUUUGCUCACCAUAUCCAUUUCUUCACCAUCUCUAUAAAUCUUCCACAGUUUAUCCUCUAAAACCCUCAUCAGAAGUCCCCUCAUGCCUGAAAUCCCGUUUUCUGAAAAACACUGUUGAACCCUCUCAUUAGGAGACAGAUCCUGCAACAUAUAUUCCGUCAAUGGCACCAACGAUUAUUUGAUUCUCCUUGUCUCAAUCCAGCUCUCUGUAUCUCCAUUGGUCAAGAAUUUAUCCCCGAGAGGGUUAUAAUCUCGGAUUCCAUUCAAAGUCGUAACUUCAGGGUUAGGCUCUCACCAGAUAUGACUCGUACAUAUAAGCUCGAGACAUCCUCCGAAUGAAAAGCAGCUGCUGGCAGCAAUUCUAGACACUGGUCUGGCGAAUCUGGAAUACUAUCCACCUGAGAGUGUGGUUGAUGGCCUGAGUUCCGCCCUUUUGAGCCAAUGUCAGCUAAAGAGGUUGUCUCCUGGCCCGACGAGUUUGGUCCCCUUGCUGCAAGACUUGUCGGAGCUCUGGUGAAGAAUUUUAUCUCCGGUCUGGACUCCGUAUUGUAAAUGAUGCUCCUCGAGGAUUAUUCUUCAAGAACAACAAAAAGCAUUCUGGGGUGGAUCAUGAACUGUAUGCUUGAUCAACUUUGCUAGGAGAACCGACAAACUUCUCAAGUGUGUUACCGUUUUCAUUACGAAAAGUCUUUGUUGCCCA